rnacentral:rRNA from 1 species
AUUGAACGCUGGCGGCAGGCAUAACACAUGCAAGUCGGGCGAGCGGCGGACGGGUGAGUAAUGUAUGGGGAUCUGCCUGAUGGAGGGGGAUAACUACAGGAGACGGUAGCUAAUACCGCAUACCAUACGAUGACCCCAUAGGGGAUUAGCUUGUAGGUGAGGUACAGGCUCACAAAGCCGACGAUCUCUAGCUGGUCUGAGAGGAUGACCAGCCACACUGGGACUGAGACACGGCCCAGACUCCUACGGGAGGCAGCAGGGGGGAAUAUUGCGCAAUGGGGGCAACCCUGACGCAGCCAUGCCGCGUGAAUGAAGAAGUCCUUCGGGUUGUAAAGUUCUUUCGGUAGCGAGGCGUUAACUACAGAAGAAGCACCGGCUAACUCCGUGCCAGCAGCCGCGGUAAUAC